ACCCACGACACGAGUCCAAAGACACGAGUCUCAAUCUAUUGCACCUGGGUAGAAAAAGCUAAACGCCGGAAUGAACUAACAUCCGUUCUUGUUGUCGACAAAAUGAUUCACUUACUGAUAUCAGGCUAUACGCCAAAGGUUCAGCAGGGCUAUAAUACCCCGUCCAUUCUCUCGCCACCUCCUAAAUUAAUGGUAAGGACGAAGUGUGUCUAAUCGGGAUUGAGAUCAGGGCCAUGUCUAAUUUGACGCAAAACUUUGAUAAUAAUCAUCGAUAUUGAUAGCUGAUCGAGUGCAGUAGUAUGGCUUGGGGCAAUCUGCAGCGGCCAUCGGUGCAAAUUAAUAUGCUUGCAAACGUGAAACUCUUGUUCAGUGAGCGACCAGUUCGUCAAGGCGGGUAUACAUUUUUCGUUAUCGCUCCGUGUGGUAAUUGAAGAGUAACUCAGUCAGUUUAUCUUCAUGAUGUGUGCUUAUACACCAUACGUCCGCUCCAGUUUGUUGAGCUGCUGAAGACGCCUCGGCAGGGACAUUCCUGUAUCUGAUAUUCGGUGAUCCCGAUAUUUCACUUUAACACGUUAUAGUCUAUGGAUAUAGCGAACAUGGAGGAAUCGACAGAUGUUGUCGAUAGCAUGAGAAUAGUCGAUUCUCAGGCGAAGAUCAGCUCUCCACGGAAUGUCCACUCUCCAGAAGUUUCUUCACCACUUACGCGAGAAAGAAAUGAAGUGGUUUCAUGCGCUGAACUAUCUCCUCGGAUGACGAUAUCUGUUGGAGAAAAUUCGGAGUCAAAGGAAGCGUGUGACGAGGUUCGGCUGGUAAGAACCGCGUCAUCUGAGAACUCAGCGAAUUUAACUUAUUAUGCUCAGCAGACAUUACAGUCAACCGGUACGCUCAGCCAACAAACUCCGGAAAAGGCAGUGUCUAGAACACCCGACCUUACUUGUUCAUAUAGUCCAUUGCCUCACGUGUCUCCAGGUGCGUCCUCAGAGACAACGAUUAUGGCCAAGGCCGUUAAUGUUACCGCCCAAGAGAGGGAUGCGGAACAUGGAGACUGCCAUAAAGAGCAGCACUCGCUUCAAAUAGAUUGUGAUCCGCAACAAGCAGUCGACGCUAAUGAUGACGCUAAUGAUAACAAGGUUAUAAUGGCUGUACCUACUUACGAUUCAAGUUCAGAAAUCGUAAUAACAGACGUAUUGGUUGGUUCUCGUGAGGCCGACAAAGAAAUAAAAGCGAAGGAUCUUUCAGACGAAAUGACCAGUUCUCCUGCGGAAGAGAGCAGCCCAUCGUGUGACGUUACCUCCCUUAAAGCAGUGCCUCUGAAGUCUCUUUCGCCUCUAAAGACAGUUCGGGCUACUUCUCCGGUGAAAGCAGUUUCUCCCAUAAAGGUUGUUUCUAUGCGGGCAAUUUCUCCAGUAAAAGUUGUUUCUCCCGUCAAGGGUGGUUCCUUUACAAAGGUUGCAUCUUUAGUGAAAGUUGCCUCUCCCGUUAAAAUCGUAGUACCCAUGAAAGUCGUUUCUCCUCCUUCAGGGUCUACUCCUCCUGCUGAUAGUACAAUAUCCGCGAAAUUGGAGUCAUCUAAUAAAAGUGUUUCCUCGGUGAAAACAGCUGCCGUUAUGAAAGUGGCAUCUUCUGUUACGGUGGUGUCCUCCGCAAAAACUUUAUCUUUUCCACGGGUUGUAUCUGAACGAGCAAACAUAGACUCUGCAGACGACCCUCCUUCCACUCCCGUGAAGGAAGGGGUUGUCGUCAAUUUCCAAAAACCUAUGUCCAGUGCUGGAUGGGGAGAGGAGGAGGCUGUAUCGUCUGAAGAAGGAGCCGAAGCAAUGUCCGAAGAAGGCGAUGAAGGUGAUUCAAUUGAGACCGAGCCGGAAGUAGUCACCGAAAGAGACGCGGGAUUUAAGGUAAACUGGUUGGCCCUCCGCGACGCAGCAACGGGUCGGUUGUUGUGGGCUACCGAUGUUGAUCUAGCUUGUGGCGAUCCCGAGCUUCGUGUUGUUGCCAAGGUCCCAAAAGAGAUCUUACAUAUGGACGCCAUUCAUCGAGAAUUGAACUUCUCCACUGCUGAAAGCCUGGACGAUUUCCGCCUUGAGCAACGCGUGCUAUUUAAAGGCCGAUGUCUAGAAGAGUGGCACUUUCACUUGGGAUCUGUAGAGCCCACUUCAUCGCAAACAUGGACUUCUGUGUUUCACAGCACACCGGAGUGCCAGUUAAUGCCGUUCGAAACUCUUAACGGCCACCUCUUUUUGUGUAUCUGGGCGAUGUACGCAACAUGUCGACACGUCGUGGCCAAAGCUGGGUACUUUUUGUUAGUCCCAGUCGAAAUGGGCAGUUUGAAGCCGCAGAUCAACGAUCGCCAAUGCGUAACUUGUCUUUGCGGAUGACCUCGCAGAUUGAUCUUAUUAUUGCGGCUCCUAUAUUAAAUGAUGUUGAAUGAACAUGGCUCUUAAGUGAACCAUUUAUUGUACAGGAAUCAGGUAUUUCGUUCAUAAAAGGACUUCCGGGUGCACUCUGUGCACAACUAACGUCAUCGAAAUAUGAGCAUUCGUAGCGCGUCGUGCCUAUCACACCAGAUGUGUGACUUUUCCAUCUAUGGCUUCUCAAGAGACGUGAACUACUCCAGCAUUUUCAUCCGUGCCGCUAUGUGAAGCUUGGGCGUCAAGGAUGAUCGUGCGAAACCAGGAUAUG